AAGUAGACAACAAAACAGAGAGCAAAGCACCGAAAUGAGUGUGCGUGCCGCGGUGCCGAGCAAAUCGCAAUUGGGGGAUCCAAAUUCCAAUGACCAGAGUCAAGUUUGUCACUUAUUUCCAAGCAUUAUAGCUCUUAGUACAAAAUAGAGUCUGCAAGAAUGCAAGAACCAUCCACGAAAGUGACCCGCCCAUCCUCUUGAAGGGUGUCUAUCUGCACAAGGGAAAAUGAUAGGCUGCUAAUAACUCAUACUCAUAGUACUGAAGUGGUUAGAAUCAAGAUAAUCAGCGAACGGAAAGUUAGCUAAGGAUUUGGUCCAUAUUCCACAGGAGCGUGGGUUUAAAUCCUGUUGGCAGAUGUGAAACUUUGUUGGAGGGUGAUAUGUAAUUCUUCUCGAAAAUCUUCAAAAAGGUUGGGGAGUCUUCAUUUUUCCUGAUGGAAUAUCGGUAUCUAACCCCAUUUAAACUUUUAGUUAAAAAAAAAUCAAGAUAAUCAUUUCAAAGAAAUAAAUUUGCAGUGUUCUAUUUCUGUAACAUUUGCCUUUAUAUUGAAUAAGUUAGGUAUCCAUUCUCUAAUUGUGUGAUUAUGCAAUAGGCCAACAUUGCCUUCGCAAACAAAUAAAUGUAAGUUAACCA